rnacentral:lncRNA from 1 species
ACUCCUAGUUCUCUCAGCUGAUGGCAGGACCAGGAACGGGAGUAAACCAUAUGUAUUUGAACAGCAAGGACAGUCAUCCAAGUGGUCCACCUUUAAAACAUAGAUCAAAACAUUUUUUUUUUUUUCCAACUUCCUUAUGGCUUAUGUUCUUCUCUGGGAGACUGUUUUCACUCAUCAAAGACAUUAGAACUAGAAACAAAUGCCAGGGAUGUCUUCAGCAACCCUGCACAGAAAGGCAAACCUCAGCCUCCAUGACAAUGGGCAACAAAGAUGCCCACCUAAUGUGAAUGGAGUCCUGCUUAGAAAACAACUGAAGAGCAGAGACCGGGCAGUAUAAAGAGGGACAGUCACUGUGAUCCCUUUGUCAGGGUCCUGAAACACUCAGCUUCCUCUUUCGAGUAGUGAUGAAAUUUAAACUAUGUGUGAUAGUUUAACAUCUGUGAGUAUGGAAAUGUUUGACAGGGGACAUGGACUGCUUCUGUCACAGCAAGAAGUACGAUAUGCAUUAUACAGAAAUAUGGUGAGGGAGUCACAAGGCUCCUGGAGCAGCAUGGUGAUAGGGUAUACACCAAAAAAUCAAGACAGUACACAAGUUAAGUUAAAAGUUGGGG